ensembl:miRNA
GAAUUUAUUAGAUUGGUGCAAAAGUGAUUGCAGGUUUUGCUAUUAAUUUUAAUAGCAAAUAUUGCAAUCACUUUUGCACCAACCUAAUAA